UCAAUAUUGAACUUUAAUGCAUGAUACACAUUAUAAGGAAAUAUAUCAGGCUGAACUAAGUUGAAAGAGGCCUGCACUGAAAAGAGGCUCGAAUCAACCAAAAUUUUGAGACUCAGCCAAAAAAUGAAUUGAUGACAUGACAAACCUUGUCGGAGUGCUAGUCAACUCAAUAUGGGAGGUGGCUUGGUGCAACCCAAAAGAAGCCAAUAUAGGUUCCAUCAAAGAGGAUUGGGCCUACUUUGGAGAUAGUUUUGGUGCAAACCAAAUAUGAAAUUGGCAUGUACUUAAUUGGAGUAAGGAUGUUAUAGAGUCUAGAAAAGGAUGGAUUGAGUUCAUAGCCAAGCAGGGUUCAACUGAUUUAUGGAUAGUAAUAUCCAAAAAUUUGGAUCGUGUUUGCUUGUAAUAGCAACCAAAUGGGGACCUUCUUCAGAAAACCAUCGAAACACAGUGAGCUUGCCAACCCAGAUCUCACCGUCAAUGCUUGUAGGGAUAUUGUCAAAUUCAGUAAGAGUGAGAAUCCACCAAAAAUCGCCCCACUAUAAUCCAAAGUGACGAUGCCAUUACCUUUCACAGAGUUUGGUUUACAUAAACAAAGUUUGGGAACAUGAUCCCGACAAUUAUUCAAUCGAAUUUAUGGUUUUAGCUAUUACCUUCCUUUACACUAGAUUUUUUAAUUUUUUAUUUAGAAUCUUUUGCACUUGAUUUUGCUCACUUUAAGAUGGUUGAUUUGGUUGGUGCACUUUCCUUAGAGCAUCUCGAUCCAAUAGAAAAUCUAAAACAAAAAUUAUAUGCAAAGUAGAGAAUGAAGCCUUAAAAGUCAGGUCUAGCAGUAUCUGCAAAAUAGGAAAUUUCUUUUGCUCAUCUAUAGUCACUCUCUUUGUCUAAAGAGUAUUGUAGAUGAGCAAAACAAAUUAAAUAGAAUAAAAUAUUAAACCAUCCAACUCUCUCUCUCUCUCUCUCUCUCUCUCUCAUAGAGCUUUGGAUGUUUUAACUCAUCUCUCAUUGAGUUUUGGAUGUUUUUAACUCAUCUCACUCCCUCUUCAUCAUAAAGCGUUUUUUUUUUUUUUUUAAUUGCAACAAUAUAAAUUUAAGCAAAAGACGAAAUGGAUCUAAGUAAUAGAAAUUUAAAUCUUUUCGGUUGGUAAAAGUAUGGGCAAAAGAGAUUUGAGUGUUGUUGCUUGAUGAAAAUGCAGAAGAGUUUUGGGCAUUUGUUGGUCGGUAAAAUGUAUCAAAUUUUGGGAAAAAUAAUAAUAAUAAAAAAGUAAAAAAAAUAAUAUUUAAAUGAAUAAAAAAAAAUGAUCGUGUAUAUUAAAAAAUGUAUUUAAAAAACUAAGUACAGAAAAGACAAAGACAAUUGUUAAAUUACUCCCUAAACAAUGUAAAAAUUUGGGUGAAUUGUUGAAGAUAUAUACUCUUAGUGCGGUAUGAUCUUCCUUAAUAGGUUGGAUUGGUGGUGCAUUUUGUAUCAUAUUAAUUUGUUUGAUCUUCAACAGUUUGGUCAGUCUAAUUUAGCAAGCAGUUAUACUUUGUCUUUACGGGAUUUCAGGGACCCUAAUUUGUAAUCUAUCCAAUUGAUUUAUAUAGAGUACAAUUAUGUAUUAUUUUCAUGUAGUCUUAAAUUUUGUUCUCUAUAUGUUCAAACCAAGUGGUCAUCGGUGCAUGGGAUACUAUUAAUUUUGGAAAGAAUAGUAGGACUUCUAGAUGUUCCAAUAGGAUCUUCAACUGUCUAGCCUGUUCCAUGUUUACAAUUAAUCAGAUAUGGGAAAGACGGUUGUCAUUGGGCUAGAUAAGAUCCAAAUGGGGUCUGGAGGGUAGGUAGGAUAUAUAGAGGUCCCCUCUUGUUACGAGGGAUCUCCUAACCUAAACCAGACUUUCAUUGCAUUUACUCUUCAACGUGUGGAAUCCCAUCUACCCUCUCAUACUUCAUUUUCACACCCCUCACUCUCUCUCUCUCUUGCAUAUCUAUCUGUAAGUCAAAGCUACUUCUGUGAUACACGAGUUAUAAGAUCGAGCUUGUGGUAGCUUAACAAAGACAUGGCCUCCUUGAACUUAACACGUUACUACCCUCACUGAUAAUCACCUUUUCUUUUCAAUAGCUAUGAAGAAAUCUCUCUGUCAGUCUGCUUUUGAUAUGCAGCUGAAUAAUUGCUCCAAGGUGUACUGGUUUUUCAUUCGGCGAGUGGUUUCCAUGCCACCCUUGUCAAGUGAACAGUCUCUUGCACUCUAUCUUUGUCUCGUUGUCUGUUCGACCUUGAGCUGAAUCACUAAUAAUUAUAACUACACACUUGUUCGACAAGAGUUUCUUGUGUUUUUAAUGAAAACAUUUUGAUUUAAAUUCCCUCUCACCAACUAUUGAAUUAUCAGAAAAAAAAAAAAAAUUACUUGUUCUGAAAUGAUCCCAAAAUACAUUAGUUUGAUAGUAGAUAUCUUAUUUAAGCUAUUAGGUGUAAUAUUAAGACACUGAUAAGUAUAUGUAGUUAAACCAUUUAUUGCACUUUUUUUUUUCUGCUAGCUUCUAUAUGUUCACUCUCUUCUAGAGGCACAAGCAAAAAAUGUACGUAGGCACUCAAAUUAUGGAUCUGGUUGCUUUUCUAUUAUGUGUUUGUUACUUUGUCCUCUACAUCUUUAAUUUCAUUAUACCAUAUAAUUAAUUCGUAAACCUCUUAUCAAAUAUACUUGCAGUCUAGCUCUUUGCUUGUUUCUGUAACUACGUGUCGUUUCUCACGGUUGCUACUAGGAUGACUUUGACAAAUUGUUAGCCCUCAAAGUGGGUCGUUUUAAGACUAUCCCAUAUAAGUCACGAGCUUUUAUAAAUUAGUCAUCAAUUGCUAAGCUGGUAGUUGUGAGAAAUGCCAGUGGCACGAAUAGGUGAUGAACCCGGAAGUUACAGUCACACAGUCAGUAUGGGACACAUCUCCAUUGACCUUGAGAUAGGGGUUGAAACCCGUAUUUUUAUACUUAGUUUUCAUUUUUCUAAGAUCAAUAAAAUUUUAUUAUUGUUUAGUCAGAGAGAUGACUACGUUUGGUUUGGAACCGCAACUCGUGGACUCCAAAGAACAAUGGUAUAUUCAAUCUAGGAAUUAGGAUGUUGUUUGGAUUCAACCUAGGUUUAGUCAAAGACGUAAUUUUUGGUGUCUUUUGUAGUUCCAUAAAAGCUUCAAAGAAUUAGGAUGUUUUUUGCAAGACUGUUCAAUAAUAGCUUCAAUUGUGAGUUCAAAAUUGGAGAAUCCAAAUCCACGAAAAUGAGUAAAUGAUAUAAAAGUUCUAAAGCAAAGCUCAAGGUUGAAAAGGCAACGAAAUUGAGGUAAAAGCAGUUACUGUUUGCUUGACAAGCUUCGCAUGGACACCAAUGCCUCAUUUCUCUUCCAUUUGCAUCCCAAAAAUUUCUGAAGCAUGAUCAAAAGAGUAAAAGUGAAGUAGUGGUGAAGAAAGAUAGCAAGGCACGUGUAAAGAAGACUAAAGUACAAAAGAAGACAAUGAGUCUAAACGACAGUAGUAUUGGUGUUUUGCUGAGAAAGCUACUUGUAGUAUUAAAAGGUUAAGUGCAGCAUGUGAAAUGCAUAUGAGAGAGUUGGUUGAGUUAUUAGUGGACAGAUGGCUAAUUGUUAUUGGAAGCGUGUAAAUAGGAAAAUCUGUUAUAAGUAGUUAGAGGCAGUUAGUGAUCUUCCCGCUCAAAUAUGGUAGAGUAGUAAUCCAUAAUAUAAAUGUAAAGUAGUGCAUUGUAAUUCAUUCACUUCUUGUAAUCACAGUACUUGAGCAAUAAGAAUUUUCUCUCUUACUCAGAAAA